GCGGUAAUACGGAGGGGGCAAGCGUUGUUCGGAAUUAUUGGGCGUAAAGGGCACGUAGGUGGACUAGUAAGUUAAAAGUGAAAUACCAAAGCUUAACUUUGGAGCUGCUUUUAAUACUGCUAGACUAGAGGUCGAAAGAGGAUAGCGGAAUUCCUAGUGUAGAGGUGAAAUUCGUAGAUAUUAGGAGGAACACCAGUGGCGAAGGCGGCUAUCUGGUUCGAUACUGACACUGAGGUGCGAAAGCGU
rnacentral:rRNA from 1 species